UGCAGCAGACAAUGGAAUUGGGUAGGACUGAUUUCCUCAUUCCUCUCUCCUAGAUCACCUGCAGUGGCCGCUUGGUGGUGCUGAGGUUGCCGCUGACCAGUGCAAUCAACAGGUGACAACAAAGUUCUGCAGCUAGACAGUGGUGAUGGCUGCAACAACCUUGAGAAUUUACUUAUGUCACUGAAUUGUACAGUUUAAAUUGAUUACAAUGCAGCCUGACAGCCAGCCACUGGAAAUGUCCCAGACCAGCUCAUCAUUGGGAGAAGAAAAGAAUGAACUUGAUACCUGCCUUUUUCCUCCAGGGUUCCAUCUGGCCAUGGGUAGAAUUUAAUGUCACCCAGCCAAAUGUAGGGACAACAAUACGAGACAUAGACUGAAAGGGAGAAAAUUUGUGUGCUUUUUUGCUUUUUACAUAGAAUUUCUCCUUGGGAUUCUCUAAUCUUCUUAACCUCCAAAGAGAUUCUGGGUUCUCAUUCCCAGGCAGCUGCUGACCCUUGCGAGACUCCCCUGCUCUGCUGUCCUAUAGAAAUCAUUUCAUAAAGAACCUCAUAGGUUUUAUUCUACACACUAUUUUAUAUCUUCCUUUUGUUUACUGUCUAUUUCUCAGGAUUGUUUACUUUAUUUCCAUCCUAGAUAACAGCCAUUGGUACAUUCUUGUCUUUUCUGAGUAGUCCCCCAUAUUCUCUGAGUACCAGGUAAAUGAAAACAAUUCAUAUGACAAUACGUGUGUGUG